rnacentral:rRNA from 1 species
CCUAACACAUGCAAGUCGAGCGGAGUUAACAAGAGGAAGUUUCGGAUGGAAUUUGUUAAUUAGCGGCGGACGGGUGAGUAACGCGUGAGCGACCAACCUUGCACAGGGGGAUAACGGACCGAAAGGUUCACUAAUACCGCAUGAGACCACGGUGUUGCAUGACACAGAGGUCAAAGGAGCAAUCCGGUGCAAGACGGGCUCGCGUCCGAUUAGGUAGUUGGUGGGGUAAUGGCCCACCAAGCCUAUGAUCGGUAGCCGACCUGAGAGGGUGAUCGGCCACAUUGGAACUGAGAUACGGUCCAAACUCCUACGGGAGGCAGCAGUGGGGAAUAUUGCACAAUGGGCGAAAGCCUGAUUGCAGCAACGCCGCGUGAGCGAUGAAGGCCUUUGGGUCGUAAAAGCUCUGUCCUAGGGGAAGAAUAAAUGACGGUACCCUUGGAGGAAGCCCCGGCUAACUACGUGCCAGCCGCUGC